rnacentral:rRNA from 1 species
UACGGAGGGAGCUAGCGUUGUUCGGAAUUACUGGGCGUAAAGCGCGCGUAGGCGGCUUUGUAAGUUAGAGGUGAAAGCCCGGGGCUCAACCCCGGAACUGCCUUUAAGACUGCAUCGCUUGAAUCCGGGAGAGGUGAGUGGAAUUCCGAGUGUAGAGGUGAAAUUCGUAGAUAUUCGGAAGAACACCAGUGGCGAAGGCGGCUCACUGGACCGGCAUUGACGCUGAGGCGCGAAAGCGUGGGGAGCAAACAGG